GCGGAUGUGGCGGAAUUGGCAGACGCGCCAGACUUAGGAUCUGGUCCCGAAAGGGGUUGAGGGUUCGAGUCCCUCCAUCCGCA
rnacentral:tRNA from 1 species